rnacentral:rRNA from 1 species
GAGUUUGAUCGUGGCUCAGGAUGAACGCUGGCGGCGUGCUUAACACAUGCAAGUCGAACGGAGAACUGCCCUUCGGGACAGUUCUUAGUGGCGGACGGGUGAGUAACGCGUGAGGAACCUGCCUUUCAGUGGGGAAUAACAGUUGGAAACGACUGCUAAUACCGCAUAAUGUAUUUUGAUCGCAUGGUCGAGAUACCAAAGAUUUAUCGCUGAAAGAUGGCCUCGCGUCUGAUUAGCUAGUUGGCGGGUAACGGCCCACCAAGGCGACGAUCAGUAGCCGGACUGAGAGGUUGGCCGGCCACAUUGGGACUGAGACACGGCCCAGACUCCUACGGGAGGCAGCAGUGGGGAAUAUUGGGCAAUGGGCGCAAGCCUGACCCAGCAACGCCGCGUGAAGGAUGAAGGUUUUCGGAUUGUAAACUUCUUUUAAGAGGGACGAUAAUGACGGUACCUCUUGAAUAAGCCCCGGCUAACUACGUGCCAGCCG